rnacentral:rRNA from 1 species
CCUACGGGUGGCAGCAGUGGGGAAUAUUGCACAAUGGGCGAAAGCCUGACGCAGCAACGCCGCGUGAAGGAAGAAGGGUUUCGGCUCGUAAACUUCUAUUCUCAGGGACGAAGAAAGUGACGGUACCUGAGGAAGAAGCCACGGCUAACUACGUGCCAGCAGCCGCGGUAAUACGUAGGUGGCAAGCGUUAUCCGGAAUUAUUGGGUGUAAAGGGUGAGUAGGCGGCAGGGUAAGUCAGAUGUGAAAGCCCUGGGCUCAACCCUGGGCUUGCAUUUGAAACUAUGUAGCUUGAGUGCUGGAGAGGCAAGCGGAAUUCCGAGUGUAGCGGUGAAAUGCGUAGAUAUACGGAGGAACACCAGUGGCGAAGGCGGAUUGCUGGACAGUAACUGACGCUGAGGCGCGAAAGCGUGGGGAGCGAACAGGAUUAGAUACCCGAGUAGUC